CGUCCCUGCUCCUUGCACACACCGCCCGUCGUUCCACCCGAGCGACUCUUGGGUGAGGCGUGGUCAUCUUGGCUGCGUCGAAUCUUUAGUUUUGUAAGGGGGGAA
rnacentral:rRNA from 1 species